ACCGAGUGAGGGCCCUCUGGGUCCAACCUCCCACCCGUGUUUAUAGUACCUUGUUGCUUCGGCGGGCCCGCCUCACGGCCGCCGGGGGGCAUCCGCCCCCGGGCUCCGCGCCCGCCGAAGACACCAUUGAACUCUGUCUGAAGAUUGCAGUCUGAGCAGAUUAGCUAAAUCAGUUAAAACUUUCAACAACGGAUCUCUUGGUUCCGGCAUCGAUGAAGAACGCAGCGAAAUGCGAUAAGUAAUGUGAAUGCAGAAUUCAGUGAAUCAUCGAGUCUUUGAACGCACAUUACGCCCCCUGGUAUUCCGGGGGGCAUGCCUGUCCGAGCGUCAUUGCUGCCCUCAAGCACGGCUUGUGUGUUGGGCUUCGCCCCCCGGCUCCCGGGGGGCGGGCCCGAAAGGCAGCGGCGGCACCGCGUCCGGUCCUCGAGCGUAUGGGGCUUCGUCACCCGCUCUGUAGGCCCGGCCGGCGCCCGCCGGCGACCCCAAUCAAUCUUUCCAGGUUGACCUCGGAUCAGGUAGGGAUACCCG
rnacentral:rRNA from 1 species